rnacentral:rRNA from 1 species
UGGGGAAUUUUCCGCAAUGGGCGAAAGCCUGACGGAGCAAUACCGCGUGAGGGAGGAAGGUCCUUGGAUUGUAAACCUCUUUUAUCAGGGAAGAAGUUCUGACGGUACCUGAUGAAUAAGCAUCGGCUAACUCCGUGCCAGCAGCCGCGGUAAUACGGAGGAUGCAAGCGUUAUCCGGAAUUAUUGGGCGUAAAGCGUCCGUAGGUGGUUAUGCAAGUCUGCCGUUAAAGAAUGGAGCUUAACUCCAUAGGAGCGGUGGAAACUGCAAGACUAGAGUACAGUAGGGGUAGCAGGAAUUCCCAGUGUAGCGGUGAAAUGCGUAGAUAUUGGGAAGAACAUCGGUGGCGAAAGCGUGCUACUGGGCUGAAACUGACACUGAGGGACGAAAGCUAGGGUAGCG